GGGCUGAGAAGCACACUUCCCUACUGGUCGGUAACUCACAACCGACCUUACGCCGUCGCCCCGUGGUGCGCCUCCGCCGGACGCGACACCCGCCGUCUCUGCCCCGGCCCCUCCCUCUCGCGCGUCAUCCGGCCGUCUUCGGCCGCCCCAAGUUCGCUGCCCCGAGCUCCGUCCCAUCGGCGUCGGCUGCCCCCCCGCUCCAUCUAGCCGGAACCAAGCCGCCGUUUGGCGUCACCGGCGGCGAGGUGGUUCUUUUGUCAAUCCCUGCUUUCCGUGUUGAGCUUCCUCUUAAGGAUAUUAUUUUUUGGAACUGAAGCUCCGUGGUUCCUCUUAGAUUCAAGACCUCAUUUGUGGGAAAGGUUUAUGAAUGCUCCUGGUUUCCUUCCAGAAUGGUGCUUCAGCAACCCUGGCUUUAAUUGCAGUUUGACAUUCUGGUUUUCUAUAUUGACGAUUCAAUGAUUGAGACAAUAUAAAGGUUGAAAAGAGGUUGAGAAGAGCCACCUAACCUCAUCUCAAAAGGUAUGCGUUGGAUCUUGCUACUUUCUGAUCAUCAAAGUGAGAUGUACAUUUCACUGUGUAUCGGAGAAAGUGAUCAGUUGACCCAUAUGCACAAUUCUCCUUCGUCGACUAACGCAGGCCACAAAAAUUAACACGGUGGUAAAAUUUGGAUAUCUUUGAGCAGAAAUGACACACGUUCUCUGCAUUUGUGUGGCUUGUAAUAAACAAAUGCAGAGAAAAAUGAAUGCAGGUAUUUGGGAUAAUCAUCAACAUUAGGUUUACAUUACCCGCCUACAUUUUUAUAUAAAUGUAAUUUAAAAAUAAAUGUUGUAAUCCCUGUGGCCCAUAUAAAGAUUUAAUGUAUAUUAAUAUCGAUCGAACGGAGUACAUUGUUCA